UCCCAGAGUCCCCAGGUUCUAGUGGAUCUGACGGUGCUCAAGGCCCUCCUGGUGGAGUGGGUUCAAUGGGAGGUAAUGGAGAAAAGGGAGAGAGCGGUGAAGCCGGCAACCCGGGACCAUCCGGAGAGCCUGGUGGUGGAGGCCCCAGAGGAGAGACAGGGGAGAAGGGAGAGA